UACAGGGGGGGCAAGCGUUGUUCGGAAUUACUGGGCGUAAAGGGCUCGUAGGCGGCCAACUAAGUCGGACGUGAAAUCCCCAGGCUCAACCUGGGAACUGCGUCCGAUACUGGAUGGCUUGAAUUCGGGAGAGGGAUGCAGAAUUCCAGGUGUAGCGGUGAAAUGCGUAGAUAUCUGGAGGAACACCGGUGGCGAAGGCGGCAUCCUGGACCGGCAUUGACGCUGAGGAGCGAAAGCCAGGGGAGCAAACGGG
rnacentral:rRNA from 1 species